UACAGAGGUCUCAAGCGUUGUUCGGAUUCAUUGGGCGUAAAGAGCGUGUAGGCGGCCAGAUAAGUCCGCUGUGAAAUCUCGAGGCUCAACUUCGAGCUGUCGGUGGAAACUAUCUGGCUAGAGUCCGGAAGAGGAGAAUGGAAUUCCUGGUGUAGCGGUGAAAUGCGCAGAUAUCAGGAAGAACACCAAUGACGAAAGCAGCUCGCUGGAACGGUACUGACGCUGAGGCGCGAAAGCGUGGGGAGCGAACAGG
rnacentral:rRNA from 1 species